UUGGACAAUGGGCGCAAGCCUGAUCCAGCCAUGCCGCGUGAGUGAUGAAGGCCCUAGGGUUGUAAAGCUCUUUUGUGCGGGAAGAUAAUGACGGUACCGCAAGAAUAAGCCCCGGCUCACUUCGUGCCAGCAGCCGCGGUAAUACGAAGGGGGCUAGCGUUGCUCGGAAUCACUGGGCGUGCAGGGUGCGUAGGCGGGUCUUUAAGUCAGGGGUGAAAUCCUGGAGCUCAACUCCAGAACUGCCUUUGAUACUGAGGAUCUUGAGUUCGGGAGAGGUUAGUGGAACUGCGAGUGUAGAGGUGAAAUUCGUAGAUAUUCGCAAGAACACCAGUGGCGAAGGCGGCUCACUGGCCCGAUACUGACGCUGAGGCACGAAAGCGUGGGGAGCAAACA
rnacentral:rRNA from 1 species